rnacentral:rRNA from 1 species
GACGAACGCUGGCGGCGUGCUUAACACAUGCAAGUCGAACGGAAAGGCCCUGCUUUUGUGGGGUGCUCGAGUGGCGAACGGGUGAGUAACACGUGAGUAACCUGCCCUUGACUUUGGGAUAACUUCAGGAAACUGGGGCUAAUACCGGAUAGGAGCUCCUGCUGCAUGGUGGGGGUUGGAAAGUUUCGGCGGUUGGGGAUGGACUCGCGGCUUAUCAGCUUGUUGGUGGGGUAGUGGCUUACCAAGGCUUUGACGGGUAGCCGGCCUGAGAGGGUGACCGGCCACAUUGGGACUGAGAUACGGCCCAGACUCCUACGGGAGGCAGCAGUGGGGAAUAUUGCACAAUGGGCGGAAGCCUGAUGCAGCGACGCCGCGUGCGGGAUGACGGCCUUCGGGUUGUAAACCGCUUUCGCCUGCGACGAAGCGGGAGUGACGGUAAUGGGUAAAGAAGCACCGGCUAACUACGUG